rnacentral:rRNA from 1 species
CAAGRCCUGCGCUUUUGSAGCSGCCGAUGUCUGAUUAGCUAGUUGGUGGGGUAAUGGCCUACCAAAGCUUCGAUCAGUAGCUGGUCUGAGAGGACGGCCAGCCACACUGGGACUGAGACACGGCCCAGACUCCUACGGGAGGCAGCAGUGGGGAAUUUUGGACAAUGGGCGCAAGCCUGAUCCAGCCAUGCCGCGUGAGUNAAGAAGGCCUUCGGGUUGUAAAGCUCUUUCAGCCGGGAAGAAAAGGUUGCGAUUAAUAAUCGCAAUUBAUGACGGUACCGGAAGAAGAAGCACCGGCUAACUACGUGCCAGCAGCCGCGGUAAUACGUAGGGUGCGAGCBUUAAUCGGAAUUACUGGGCGUAAAGGGUGCGCAGGCGGUUUUGUAAGUCAGAUGUGAAAUCCCCGGGCUUAACCUGGGAACU